GGGAAACCGGGGGCGGGCGAAUGCGUCGCCAAUCCGGUCAGGUCCGAAAGGAAGCAGCCGUAACGAUUUUGCUUCGGGUCGCUCUCCGGUUUCCUACA
rnacentral:SRP_RNA from 2 species